UCUAUCCCAGAGUUCACUGCGAGUUCGAGAAGCAAGCGUUCGGUUCCGUCACUCUCUCUCUUCUGCAAAUGGCGGCUAGGCUUGCGUCUAACGGUAAUCAGUCUGGUUUAGAAAACAAUAGUGAUCAAGGUAAAUUGGAAGAUAUCCAAAUGAAGAGUGAACCGGUCGACAUGGAAACGAAUCAAGCUGAUAGCGUAAAAGCGGGCGAAUAUGUGCGCGAACUACUUAAAGAAAAAAUGGCUUUGGAUCCGGCGCAGUACCCCAAUGCAAUGCGGCUUGUUGACCAAGAAGUACAAAAAGCUCAAGUGCAGGGGGCCAAACUUCCCAGAGAAAAUCGCUAUGUUGAUAUCUACAGAGAAAAGCCCAUCAGGGUCGCAGUUAAAGUUCUUGUACCUGUCAAAGAACACCCUAAGUUCAAUUUUGUUGGGAAACUCUUGGGACCCAAAGGAAACUCACUCAAACGACUCCAAGAAGACACCAUGACAAAAAUGGCCAUUUUGGGCAGAGGCUCAAUGAGGGACAAGCAAAAGGAAGAAGAGUUCCGACAAGCCCUGGACCCCAAGUACGCUCACCUCAGUGACGACCUACAUGUAGAGAUAGCAGCACUGGCCCCACCGGCGGAGGCACACGCUAGGAUCGCAUACGCUCUAGCUGAGAUCCGCAAGUACCUAGUCCCCGACAGCAACGACGAAAUCAGGCAGGAGCAGAUGCGCGAGAUCCAAGCGUACUCAGGUCCCCCACCAGUGGAGCGAGGGGGUGCGCCGGUGAGAGGACGGGGCAGAGUACCACCUCCACCACCACCAGGCCCCCGUGGCGGACCUCCCAUGGGUCUGAGGAUGGCUGCCCCCCGCCCCGCACCCCCACUGCUACCCAGGCCACUGCCAGCCAAGACCAAGGUUCUGAGUAUACUGGACCGGGCGAGACAGGCUAUGGAGGAAAGCUACGGUGGCUACGAUGACAUGGGCCCUGACAUGGGCGGCCCUGCAUCAGGCUUCUACGACUCUCCUUCACCUGGCUUCAACUCAGGACCCGGUUACGGUGGUGACUACAAUGGAGGCUCUGCAGGAGAUUAUUAUGACACAGCCAACUACACUGAUGAUAUCGGACUAGACUCUUUCUGGGAGAAUCGGUAUUUGUGAAAUAAGAAGAACCCGAGAGCAUCUCUAAUGAGGAGGGGCUGUGUCUUGGGGUGUUCUAUGGAGCUCAGACAGAGGUGCUAUCAUCUCAACCUGUUCAAGUAAACCAACCAACCAUCACUUUUAAAUCAUGCUUAACAUUUCAAUAGUGUUUAUAACUUUAAAUGUAUCCUAGGUGCCAAAUGAAUGUUGGUGAAGUGGUCAGACAUUUUGGUAAUAAUUUGACAACGAAUUAGAUGUAAUUGUUCCUUAGUACAGUAAAAGCUCAUCUGGGUCCAAAUUUGGAACAAUAAAUACGUUUGGUCGAGCCUCGUUUUGUUUACAUUUAAUUGUAAGCUGUACAAUUGAUAAAAGAAUUACCGAAGUACACUGUUGAAAUUUUAUUGAAAAGAAUUUUCAACAUACAAUUUUUUUAUCUAUUUUAUCACUUACAUUUCUUUGCAAUAGUUCUUCAACUCUAAAAUCUACACUUCUGCAAUCUGAAAAAUAAUUGAUAAUGCCUCUGGUGUUAGUAUUGUUAGACAAAAGGCCUUCUGUUAAGCAAUGUCAGUACUGAGCUUUAAGCAUUGUAUAACAUCUGUUUUAUGUUGAAUGUGCUAUUAAUUAAGUGUAUUGUAGAUGGGAGCUCCAGUCAUUGUUACAUUGAGUCCAGAGCUUAACAUAACUUGCUCUACUAAAUCCACUAUUUCCUAUUAGUUUGUGUUCCAAUCAAUGUGGCGUAUCCUAUCUAAAACUGUUUAGAUAAAUCCAUUCAGUAUGCUGCCUUGAAACACUUGCUUCUUAAAAACCAAACAAAAUGUCUGUCCACUAAAAAAUUUCAAUAGUAAAUGUUAAAGUUCAAUUAAAGUUUAAACUAUUAAUGUUGACCCCCAAAAUAAGUGUUAGGUACUUUCAUAACUUUUUUAUCAUAAUCAUUACGAUAUAAUCUUUUUUAUAUGACAGGUUAUUUCUUCUUUGCGAAAAUCGAUUUUUCAGAUGUAAGAGGGAAAUUUGUUGUUUUAUAUUUUUAUUGAAAACUCCUUUCAAUGGGCAAAAGUUUUUGACUUGUCUAUAUGCUGCUUGCGAAAUAUAUUUUCUUGUUGUAAUGUUCUGUUAAACAUUUAGGAUUUGUUUAUAUGUUGUUGUGUAUUGAUAGUUUUUAAAUUAUAAAGUAUACAAUUGUGGUGAUAUACAUAAAAGAUGUUAAUCCACUUUGCUUUACGUAACAACUUUCAAUAAUUUUAAGGUAUAUAAUAUACUAGACCCUUUUUGUUGUCAGUUUCUUUAGUCAAGGAAAUUUGUUAGCGUGUGAUAAAAUUUUUAUAGUAUGUUAAAUAUUUACAUUUUCUAGUCUUUAAAAAUAUAAGCUGUUUAAGUAUAACUUUAUGAGUGUUUCCUAAAGGAUAGAAAUAACACUUGUUUUCCAGUUAUACAAUUUAAUUGUAGGAUUAAUUAAGUUAGAUCUUUGUGAUUCUACUGUGAUACUACAGUGUUUAUUUUUAUUGUCACACCUAAACAUAUAGUGUAAUUUUGUUAAAAUUUUUACUGUUUUUUUAUUUAUUUUUCCCUAAAUACAGUAUUAAUUAAAGUUUUUGGUGUGAAUGUUGACAUUUUCUCUGUAGCUUUUAUAUGUGCAUGCAAGCACACGGUCUUACUAAAUGCACAAAGUAACUUAAAUCCCAGUAUUGUGUAUAUGAUAUUUAUAUAAAAUCGGAAUAAUUUUAUUCAUAGAUGUAGUGUAGUAAGUUAUUUUCAAUGCUUCAAAUCAUAAAAUAUCAGUAUUAUAUGUGCCAAUUUUACCAUAAAAUACUUUCAAACUUAUGAAAUACAUUGUAUACAUCGCUAUACGUUAACUAGUGCAUAGCAUUAUGCUUUUGUUUCACAAAAAGUUGUUACCUAUAUUUUUUAUCAAUUUUUGUCUUUGUUUUAGUCCUUAUUGUUUUCAUCCCGUUUUGUGGGACUAGCGACUGAAAGUAAAGAAUGCAUUUCAUUCUUCUGAGACUUAUUUAUUUCUAAGGAAGAAGCAAAGAAGAAAUAAUGGUAAAUGUAACCAAACCAAACCACCAAUGAAGGAUGUAUAUAGUAAACGACCAAGAGGGACCAUGGCUAAAGAGGUUCUAAAGUAAACAAUGUAAAUCUAGCACCUGAUGCUCUCUUCCAUUUAUUCGUGUUUUCUAAGGCCUACUUUGUUAGUGACUUUUAUCAAUAAAAUAUUGUGUUUGCAAAA